rnacentral:rRNA from 1 species
AAUGAACGCUGGCGGCAUGCCUAACACAUGCAAGUCGAACGGCAGCAUGACCCAGAUUGCUAGGUUGAUGGCGAGUGGCGUACGGGGGAGUAAUGCAUCGGAACGUGCCUUUUUGUGGGGGAUAACGUAGCGAAAGUUACGCUAAUACAGCACAUUCUCCGAGGAGGAAAGCAGGGGACCUUCGGGCCUUGCGCUAGAAGAGCGGCCGAUGUCGGAUUAGCUAGUUGGUGAGGUAAAGGCCCACUAAGGCAACGAUCCGCAGCGGGUCUGAGAGGGUGAUACGCCACCCGGGAACUGAGACGCGGCCCAGACUCCUACGGGAGGGCGCAGUGGGGAAUGUUGGACAAUGGGCGCAAGCCUGAUCCAGCCAUGCCGCGUGAGUGAAGAAGGCCUUCGGGUUGUAAAGCCCUUUCGGCUGGGAAGAAAUCGUACCCUCUAAUACAGGGUGUGGAUGACGGUACCAGCAUAAGAAGCACCGGCUAACUACGUG